UGCGGACUCCCGCUCCCCAGGCCACCUAAACGGGGGCAAUCAGAUUCUUGGGGCUCAAGGGUUUUAAGUGGUUGGGGGAGUCUAGAGAUGGGAAGGCCAGGAUGAAGAGAGCCACUUAGGAAGGGGACUGACUACCUUGUGCUCCAAUGAAACUGGGCCAGAGAGAGAAAUUUGUGCAUGGGCCUCCCUUCUGCCUGGAGCUUGGGGGAAGCUUUACUAAUGGAGAUCAAAGUCUCGUGUGAAAAGGGGGACAUCUUGACAGCUAGGGAGAAAAGGGCAGAAACAGAAGGAACCUGUCCAGGUGACAGGAGACUCUGGCACAGUUUAGAUGUGGACCUCAGUAGCCACUUUCUUCCCCUUCCCCAUCUCCAUUUUUCAGGCUCCAACCAAGGCAGCCUCCCUGUGAACUGGAGGAACCAAGGACUUCCUAGCAUUAAGAACCCAUUUUGUACAGUGCCCAUUUCGCCCCUCUCCAGGGUAGGUCCUGGAGCUACAGAUGCUGUCACUCCUCCCAAUAAAGUGAGGUUGGGGAUUG
rnacentral:lncRNA from 1 species